rnacentral:rRNA from 1 species
AGUAACACGUAUCCAACCUGCCGAUAACUCGGGGAUAGCCUUUCGAAAGAAAGAUUAAUACCCGAUGGUAUAAUCAGACCGCAUGGUCUUGUUAUUAAAGAAUUUCGGUUAUCGAUGGGGAUGCGUUCCAUUAGGCAGUUGGUGAGGUAACGGCUCACCAAACCUUCGAUGGAUAGGGGUUCUGAGAGGAAGGUCCCCCACAUUGGAACUGAGACACGGUCCAAACUCCUACGGGAGGCAGCAGUGAGGAAUAUUGGUCAAUGGGCGCAGGCCUGAACCAGCCAAGUAGCGUGAAGGAUGACUGCCCUAUGGGUUGUAAACUUCUUUUAUAUGGGAAUAAAGUUUUCCACGUGUGGAAUUUUGUAUGUACCAUAUGAAUAAGGAUCGGCUAACUCCGUGCCAGCAGCCGCGGUAAUACGGAGGAUCCGAGCGUUAUCCGGAUUUAUUGGGUUUAAAGGGAGCGUAGGUGGACAGUUAAGUCAGUUGUGAAAGUUUGCGGCUCAACCGUAAAAUUGCAGUUGAUACUGGCUGUCUUGAGUACAGUAGAGGUGGGCGGAAUUCGUGGUGUA